rfam:Burkholderia sp. TSV86 TSV86_47, whole genome shotgun sequence.
AGUUCUGAUGCACCGCGAAACGAAUUUGCAGGUGGAGAACGAGGAGACAUUCGAGGCAUAGACUGCCCGACCCGAAGCGCUGUUGGAUUCCGUCCAACAGCGCUUUUUU